rnacentral:rRNA from 1 species
AAUAGAUACCCGGUAGUCCAUGCCGUAAACGUUGGGCGCUAGAUGUGGGGACCAUUCCACGGUUUCCGUGUCGCAGCUAACGCAUUAAGCGCCCCGCCUGGGGAGUACGGCCGCAAGGCUAAAACUCAAAGGAAUUGACGGAGGCCCGCACAAGCGGCGGAGCAUGCGGAUUAAUUCGAUGCAACGCGAAGAACCUUACCAAGGCUUGACAUAUACGAGAACGCUCUAGAAAUAGAGAACUCUUUGGACACUCGUAUACAGGUGGUGCAUGGUUGUCGUCAGCUCGUGUCGUGAGAUGUUGGGUUAAGUCCCGCAACGAGCGCAACCCUCGUUCUAUGUUGCCAGCACGUCAUGGUGGGAACUCAUAGGAGGACUGCCGGGGUCAACUCGGAGGAAGGUGGGGAUGACGUCAAAUCAUCAUGCCCCUUAUGUCUUGGGCUUCACGCAUGCUACAAUGGCCGGUACAAUGGGCUGCGAUACCGUAAGGUGGAGCGAAUCCCAAAAGCCGGUCUCAGUUCGG